CAUAACUCUUGAAGGUGCCACACAGACGGUUUUAGGAGACGCACUCUGACUGCAGGAGCUUAGACUAACUUUCUUUCAGGAAAGUGAAGAGGGGAGAUCAUCUUGCUGUUGAAUGUAGUAAUGGCAGAUAUUACCACCAUGGUAUAUUCAUCGGAGAUGGAGACGUCAUUGAUUAUGGGGCAGAAAACAAGAAGCUCAUCUCAGGACAAGGAAUGAUUCGUAAAAUGCCACUGAUUAAAUUUGCUGGAGGUGAGAUGGUGUACAGAGUAAAAUACAACAAGGCUCUUGAAAAGAAUCCAGAGGAUGUGGUGAAAACAGCUGUCCAGCUGUAUGAAGACCAAAGAUGUUGGAGAGUGUACGAUCUUCUUAACAAGAAUUGUGAACAUUUUGCCACUUUCUGUAAGACAGGGAGAGCUUUCUCUCUUCAAGUAGUGCAGAAGAUCAAGGCUUUGUUUGCAGCUGCAGCUGCUUCGUCUGCAGCUUCGAGGAUGUCAGGAAUAUAGUUUCAGCAUGUUAUUGUUCAUAAAUUGUGUCUUUGAUUUUGCAGAAAUGAUGGAACGAAAUAUUUGGAUAAAAAAGUGUGAAGAAUAUGUGAAUAUUCUGAAAAUGUGGCAUGAUUUAUGCUAAUUCAAAAUGUAUUGGUCGAGAGAUCAAAGAACAUAAUGAAAUGACUAAAAUAAUGACGUAUGUGCAGCUUUUUCUGAACCAUAAAUACACACCAAAUGUAUUA